AAUAUUGUACAAUGGGGGCAACCCUGAUCCAGCCAUGCCGCUUGUGUGAAGAAGGUCUNCGGAUUNUNAAGCACCUUAAGUUGGGNGGAAGGGCUUUAGGUUAAUACCCUGUAGUUUUGACGUUACCAAAAGAAUAAGUACCGGCUAACUCUGCGCCAGCAGCCGCGGUAAUACAGAGGGUGCAAGCGUUAAUCGGAAUUACUGGGCGUAAAGCGCGCGUAGGUGGUUCAGUAAGAUGGGUGUGCAAUCCCCGGGCUUAACCUGGGAACUGCUUUCAUAACUGCUGAGCUAGAGUACGGUAGAGGGUAGUGGAAUUUCCUGUGUAGCGGUGAAAUGCGUAGAUAUAGGAAGGAACACCAGUGGCGAAGGCGACUACCUGGACUGAUACUGACACUGAGGUGCGAAAGCGUGGGGAGCAAAC
rnacentral:rRNA from 1 species